UACGUAGGGUGCAAGCGUUGUCCGGAAUUAUUGGGCGUAAAGAGCUCGUAGGCGGUCUGUCGCGUCUGCUGUGAAAACCUGGGGCUUAACCCCGGGCCUGCAGUGGGUACGGGCAGACUAGAGUGCGGUAGGGGAGACUGGAAUUCCUGGUGUAGCGGUGAAAUGCGUAGAUAUCUGGAGGAAUACCGGUGGCGAAGGCGGCAUCCUGGACCGAGAUUGACGCUGAUGAGCGAAAGCUAGGGGAGCAAACGGG
rnacentral:rRNA from 1 species